rnacentral:rRNA from 1 species
GAGCGGCGGACGGGUGAGUAACGCGUGGGAACGUGCCCUUUGGUUCGGAACAACACAGGGAAACUUGUGCUAAUACCGAAUGUGCCCUUCGGGGGAAAGAUUUAUCGCCAUUGGAGCGGCCCGCGUUGGAUUAGGUAGUUGGUGGGGUAAAGGCCCACCAAGCCGACGAUCCAUAGCUGGUCUGAGAGGAUGAUCAGCCACACUGGGACUGAGACACGGCCCAGACUCCUACGGGAGGCAGCAGUAGGGAAUCUUGCGCAAUGGGCGAAAGCCUGACGCAGCCAUGCCGCGUGAAUGAUGAAGGUCUUAGGAUUGUAAAAUUCUUUCACCGGGGAAGAUAAUGACGGUACCCGGAGAAGAAGCCCCGGCUAACUUCGUGCCAGCAGCCGCGGUAUACGAAGGGGGCUAGCGUUGCUCGGAAUUACUGGGCGUAAAGGGCGCGUAGGCGGAUAGUUUAGUCAGAGGUGAAAGCCCAGGGCUCAACCUUGGAACUGCCUUUGAUACUGGCUAUCUUGAGUUCGGGAGAGGUGAGUGGAAUGGCCGAGUGUAGAGGUGAAAUUCGUAGAUAUUCCGGCGGAACACCAGUGGCGAAGGCGACUCACUGGCCCGAU